AUACUUACCUGGCUCGGGAGAUACCAUGAUCACAGAGGUGAUUUUCCCAGGGCGAGGUUUAUCCAUUGCAUUCUGGAUGUGCUGUCCCCUGCAAUUUUCCCAAAUGUGGGAAACUCCACUGCGCAAUUUGUGAUAAUGGGGGACUGUGUUCCCGCUCUCCCAAG
rfam:Erinaceus europaeus unplaced genomic scaffold scaffold00333, whole genome shotgun sequence